rnacentral:rRNA from 1 species
GAUGAACGCUAGCGACAGGCUUAACACAUGCAAGUCGAGGGGCAUCAUGAGGUAGCAAUACCUUGAUGGCGACCGGCGCACGGGUGAGUAACGCGUAUGCAACCUGCCCGAUACCGGGGUAUAGCCCAUGGAAACGUGGAUUAACACCCCAUAGUACUUUUAUCCUGCAUGGGAUGUGAGUUAAAUGUUCAAGGUAUCGGAUGGGCAUGCGUCCUAUUAGUUAGUUGGCGGGGUAACAGCCCACCAAGACGAUGAUAGGUAGGGGUUCUGAGAGGAAGGUCCCCCACAUUGGAACUGAGACACGGUCCAAACUCCUACGGGAGCAGCAGUGAGGAAUAUUGGUCAAUGGACGUAAGUCUGAACCAGCCAAGUCGCGUGAGGGAAGACUGCCCUAUGGGUUGUAAACCUCUUUUAUAAGGGAAGAAUAAGUUCUACGUGUAGAAUGAUGCCUGUACCUUAUGAAUAAGCAUCGGCUAACUCCGUGCCAGCAGCCGAC